UACGGGGGGGGGGUAAGCGUUGUUCGGAAUUACUGGGCGUAAAGGGCUCGUAGGCGGCCAACUAAGUCAUACGUGAAAUCCCUCAGCUUAACUGGGGAACUGCGUGUGAUACUGGAUGGCUUGGAUUUGGGAGAGGGAUGCGGAAUUCCAGGUGUAGCGGUGAAAUGCGUAGAUAUCUGGAGGAACACCGGUGGCGAAGGCGGCAUCCUGGACCAAUAUUGACGCUGAGGAGCGAAAGCUAGGGGAGCAAACGGG
rnacentral:rRNA from 1 species